rnacentral:rRNA from 1 species
GACGUAGGGCGCGAGCGUUGUCCGGAUUUAUUGGGCGUAAAGAGCUCGUAGGCGGCUUGUCGCGUCGACUGUGAAAACCCGCGGCUCAACCGUGUGGUCUGCAGUCGAUACGGGCAGGCUAGAGUACGUAAGAGGGUCGCGGAAUUCCCGGUGUAGAGGUGAAAUUCGUAGAUAUCGGGAGGAACACCGGUGGCGAAGGCGGCGACCUGGGACGAUACUGACGCUGAGGUGCGAAAGCGUGGGGAGCAAACAGG